rnacentral:rRNA from 1 species
UACGUAGGGACCAAGCGUUGUUCGGAUUUAUUGGGCGUAAAGAGCGUGUAGGCGGCUCGAUAAGUCCGCUGUGAAAGUCCAGGGCUCAACCCUGGGAUGCCGGUGGAUACUGCUGGGCUAGAGUACGGAAGAGGCGAGUGGAAUUCCCGGUGUAGCGGUGAAAUGCGCAGAUAUCGGGAGGAACACCAAUUGCGAAGGCAGCUCGCUGGGACGUCACUGACGCUGAGACGCGAAAGCGUGGGGAGCGAACAGG